rnacentral:rRNA from 1 species
GUGUCAGCCGCCGCGGUAAUACGUAGGGGGCGAGCGUUGUCCGGAUUUACUGGGCGUAAAGGGCGCGCAGGUGGCUUGUUAGGUUCGUCGUUAAAGCCCGGGGCUCAACUCCGGGUGGUCGGCGGAGACCGGCGGGCUUAGAGGCCGGUAGAGGGAUGCGGAAUUCCCGGUGUAGUGGUGAAAUGCGUAGAGAUCGGGAGGAACACCAGAGGCGAAAGCGGCAUCCUGGGCCGAGCCUGACGCUGAGGCGCGAAAGCGUGGGGAGCGAACCGGAUUAGAAACCCGAGUAGUCC